rnacentral:rRNA from 1 species
UUCCGGUUGAUCCUGCCGGACCCUACUGCUAUCGGGGUGGGACUAAGACAUGCGAGUCGAGCGUCUCCAGCUAUGGUGAGACGCGGCAGACGGCUCAGUAACACGUGGCUAACCUACCCUCAGGACAGGGACAAACCCGGGAAACUGGGGCUAAUACCCGAUAGGCGAGGGCGCCUGGAAUGGUUCUUCACCCAAAGGGCUUUGGAAGCAUGCUUUUCAAAGUUGCCUGGGGAUGGGGCCGCGUCCGAUCAGGUUGUUGGUGAGGUAACGGCUCACCAAGCCUAUAACCGGUACGGGCCGUGAGAGCGGUAGCCCGGAGAUGGGCACUGAGACAAGGGCCCAGGCCCUACGGGGCGCAGCAGUCGCGAAAACUCCGCAAUGCACGAAAGUGUGACGGGGCUACCCCGAGUGCCGUCCGCUGAGGAUGGCUUUUCCUCGGUGUAACUAGCCGGGGGAAUAAGGAGAGGGCAAGACUGGUGUCAGCCGCCGCGGUAAUACCAGCUCUCCGAGUGGUAGGGAUGAUUAUUGGGCUUAAAGCGUCCGUAGCCGGCUUAGCAAGUCUCCUGUUAAAUUCAGCGACCUAAUCGUUGAGCCGCGGGAGAUACUACUAGGCUAGGAGGCGGGAGAGGUCGACGGUACUUCCGGGGUAGGGGUGAAAUCCUAUAAUCCCGGGCGGACCACCAGUGGCGAAGGCUGUUGACUAGAACGCGCUCGACGGUGAGGGACGAAAGCUGGGGGAGCGAACCGGAUUAGAUACCCGGGUAGUCCCAGCCGUAAACGAUGCGGGCUAGGUGUUGGGGUGGCUACGUGCCACUCCAGUGCCGCAGGGAAGCCAUUAAGCCCGCCGCCUGGGGAGUACGGCCGCAAGGCUGAAACUUAAAGGAAUUGGCGGGGGAGCACCACAAGGCGUGAAGCUUGCGGUUCAAUUGGAUUC